rnacentral:rRNA from 1 species
GAUGCACGCUUGCUACAGGCUUAACACAUGCCAGUCGAGGGACCGGCGCACGGGCGAGUACCACGUAUCCCACCUGCCCUUUACUCUGGGAUAGCCUUUCGCAAGCAAGAUUCAUACCCGAUCUAAAGGACGGGGAUGCGUUCCAUUAGGUUGUUGGUGAGGUAACGGCUCACCAAGCCUUCGAUGGAUAGGGGUGCUGAGAGGAAGGAACCCCACAUGGGAACGGAGACACGGUCCAAACUCCUACGGGAGGCAGCAGUGAGGAAUAUUAGUGAAUGAGCGGUAGCCUGAAGCAGCCAAGUAGCGUGAAGGAUGAAGGCUAAUGGAACGUAAACUGCUUUUAUAUAAGAAUAGGUAUUAUAUGAAUAAGGAUCGGCUAACUCCGUGCCAGCAGCCGCGGUAAUUC